UGCAAUGGGCAGAAAGCUAUUCCCCAGUAGGACCGAAGCUAUGAAGGAGGCCAUUUUGGAAGUAGGAGGCAAGCUCUGAGCCAAUAGACCUGACGCUAUCAAGGUAGCCAUCUUGGAAGUGGGAAAAAAAAGAAAAGAAGUGGAGAGAGCCCUGUCCUGGGUGCCAAACACUCAGGAAUCCCUCCUGUGGGGAAUUUCUUUUGGAGGACAGGGGAAGACGGGUUAAUUGGUUGACCCACAGUACUAGUGGGUUAUGUAAUGUACUACAGUCACCUGAACUGCAGCAGCGUAAGGGACAAGCUGCACCUGCUUACAGCUUGGACUCCCCAGGUGGUCCAGUCACAGGCCAAAAAGCCCUUUAACUGGGGUCCAGCACUUCCCCCAGUUCAGUCUUUGUUCCUCAGGUGUUUCCAGGAGUCUGCUGGUGUGGGGAGUGAAGAACACCAGAUGAUGUCACACCCCGCCUUAUAAAGCUUUUGCAUACGGUGGGAACCCUUUGUUUCUAAGCUUGGUUCCCAGCCUCAUCUGUGGAAAAACACUGACAUCCCAGGAUGGAGUCUAGAGACAUGCGGUCUCAUCAUAUGUCCUUGCAGAGUCAAAUCAGCCAUUACUGGAGGCUGUUUGUAACAUUCUCAGGACGGCUCCCCAGGGUCAACAGAGGGAUGAUGCACUGAACGGGCUUCAGAGAAUGAAUGUGCUGGCAGAGGAACUGGCCAUGCAUGAAAGAGGCUUGCAGUUGUAAUGGAGAGAUUUUCUGGCUACACUACAAAUCUGAACCUUCAAGACAUUAGGCUUCUGUUUCUCCCUGAACACCACAAAUCUGUAUAACCAUCUAACCAAACAGCACCUCCACCAGCCAAGCAGAUAUGUGACACUGAGAGAGAGGGACUGACAGUGAUGAAACAAUGACAGUGCUAUCCAGCCUGGUCCACAUGUCACAUCUGGAUUUGGUUCAUAUGGCAGCUCAAGAAACUCACUACAAGAUUCUGCCCAGGAGUUUGCCCUAUUUUCAUCUAAACCCCACUACAGGAUUUGAACCUCCAUUUCCAGGCAGCAUUAGGCUGGUAAAUGAGACACUUAGACCACUAAGCCAAACCCCACCGCAGCUAAGGGAAAUACCAGCUAAUUUCAACCAAUAGAACCUUAUUUAUCUAACCUGCUCCUUUGGGUUAUAUCAAACCUUAGCAUUUACAGGCAUGUGAGGGUGUCUCCAGGUAUUUUUGGCUAACCAGGAUUGUAGUGUAUCACCUUACUGUCCUGAAUAACAAGGAAGGGAGCUGCCUGAUGUGGAACACACAAGAGGAAUCCAGGGUCAAAAUCUUCAGCCAGCUGUGAACUAAUUCAUCCAUCUUUUUUCAUGCAGAAAAGCUCAGCUCAGGUUCAGCACAUGGUUAAUGUUCCUGCUUUGUUACCAAUGUUCUGUGUUAAAUUAAAGCACAAAGUCAGGUUUUUUGAUCAAGGUCAGACAUUGCCUUACUCAGGAACAGAAAUACAGCCCGCUCCUUGUUUCCAAGUUUGCUCUAACUGCUAGAAAGCAUCAGCUCCUAGGGCAAUGGAGAAGAGGAGCAUAUAUGGGAUCUUCUGGCUUUCCAGUGAAACCCAUGGCAGCAUGUCAAGGCUGAAGAGAAUUCCUGAGAUGUGUGAAGAGCUGGCUGGUAAUGCCAGUUCAUGUUCCUUUUUCAUCCCUGUCCCGAUUCUGUGAGCCCUGCUUGCAGACAUCAAGUGAAACUGACAGAUUUUUCUGUCUUUUAACAACAAUGCUUAUUUCUGAUUCUCUGUGUUCUGAGGGUAAAGUGAAUGAUUGGAUGGAAAACAACCAAAAAACCUUCACCGUGAAGUACUGAAUGUCUCAAGCUUUGGAAAUACAAUCAGGACUUGCAUUUUAUUUAUUUGGUUAAAUGUGCAGUCUUAAAAUGUUACGCCCAUUAUGAUGGUGUCCUCUCUCCCUUCCCCUACAUUCUUCAGACCAUCUUGCUUUGCUGUGGGAAGGCGGGCAGGCUUUUGGAAUUUGUUCUGGGCUUGUUAUGCAAAAAAAAAUCCACUCCAACAUUUAAAUAAAUAUUAAAGCCCUGAUCCAGAAUCCAUUUAAGUCAAUUAAAGACUUUGAUUCCGGCCCCAAAUGCUUCAUUUUUAUUUACCUCUCUCCAGGAACGAAGCCAGAGUUGUUGUUGUCGUCCCCUCCCGCCCCACCCCCCGCAACAUGCAUGUUUUAGAUUUAGCGGCCUUUAAAUUAAUGUCUCAAAGAUACAUAUAAACUACUGGAUUUUGAUCCCCAACUUCA